rnacentral:rRNA from 1 species
GACGAACCGAGCAAACGUUAUUCGGAAUCACUGGGCUUAAAGGGCGCGUAGGCGGGUCAGCAAGUCAGGGGUGAAAGCCCCCAGCUCAACUGGGGAAGUGCCUUUGAUACUGUUGAUCUCGAGGGAGGUAGGGGCGUGCGGAACUUCCGGUGGAGCGGUGAAAUGCGUAGAUAUCGGAAGGAACACCGGUGGCGAAAGCGGCGCGCUGGACCUCUUCUGACGCUGAGGCGCGAAAGCCAGGGGAGCAAACAGG